ACUGGUGAUGGUAUGUUCAGACCGUUCCACACGACGGACGGUCACCUCCGAAUGAUUACAAAUCCUGGAAGAACUCUGAAAAAUAAGCGUCCGGCAUAGUUGGCUAAGAGAAGCAUGGUGGUCUGACAUUUGCAAAAAAAUAUCGCCUCCACCCACAACCGAUACUACUCGACGUAAUCCACAGAACCAUGGUCUAAUUAGGAAGAACAUAAAUCGGAGAUUGUUAUUGGAUAAGAAAAAUCUUAGAAAUGGACCCCUCAGACUUCCUUA